GAUUAGCGCUGGCGGCGUGCAUAACACAUGCAAGUCGAACGAUGAAACUUUAAUGAACCCUUCGGGGAGAAUUAAAGCGGAUUAGUGGCGAACGGGUGAGUAACGCGUGAGUAACCUGCCUUACACAAGGGGAUAGCCUUUGGAAACGAAGAAUAAUACCCUAUAAAACCAUAAAAGCACAUGCAAUUAUGGUCAAAGUGAUAGCGGUGUAAGAUGGACUUGCGUCUGAUUAGCUAGUUGGUGAGAUAAAAGCCCACCAAGGCAACGAUCAGUAGCCGGCUUGAGAGAGUGUACGGCCACAUUGGGAAUGAGACACGGCCCAGACUCCUACGGGAGGCAGCAGUGGGGAAUUUUGCACAAUGGGGGAAACCCUGAUGCAGCGACGCCGCGUGAUUUAGAAGGCCUUCGGGUUGUAAAAAUCUUUUGUAUAGGAAGAAAAUGACAGUACUAUACGAAUAAGGUCCGGCUAAUUACGUG
rnacentral:rRNA from 1 species